rnacentral:rRNA from 1 species
UACGGAGGGUGCAAGCGUUAAUCGGAAUUACUGGGCGUAAAGCGCGCGUAGGCGGCUUGGUCAGUCAGAUGUGAAAGCCCCGGGCUCAACCUGGGAAUUGCACCUGAUACUGCCAAGCUAGAGGUACAGAAGAGGGUGGUGGAAUUUCCUGUGUAGCGGUGAAAUGCGUAGAUAUAGGAAGGAACAUCAGUGGCGAAGGC